GCGAUUUCGAAUUAAUCAUCAAAUCCGGCUCCAGAUUUCAACAGCUUCGGAAUCGAUUAAACCGGAGAAACAAUCGCGAAUCGAUUCAGAUGGUAUUUAACGAGAAGAUAUUUCAAACUCACAAGGAGUCUAAUUACAACGUAAUGCUAAGUGUAAGUAUUAAGAAUUUUGUUCCAAAGAAAGCACCACGACCAGCUCCAACCAUCAAGCUUUUCAUUGUUCGUAAUUUGGGCAUGGACCGUAGAUUGAUGAGAACGUGCCUACAGGCGUUAGCAUAACUUCAAACGUUAUCAUAUGCUGACAUGCAAGAAAGAAUGAGGACAAUGAGCAGUGAAGGUACGUAGACAACUUCUUUCUUUUCUAUGAAACGUUGGACUCCUUUAUUUUAAUUGCAUUUAGUUACAAGCAAUUGAAUCUAGGAUUCUUAUUAAUAUAUAUAAAUGUAUACUCUUUAUCUCUCCAAGUGACAAAAUGAUUGUAAAAGACUCUUGGGUGACUAUAAUAAGAGGAAGACUUUAUACCAGA